rnacentral:rRNA from 1 species
UACGUAGGGAGCAAGCGUUGUCCGGAAUCAUUGGGCGUAGAGAGCGCGUAGGUGGCUGUAUAAGUCCGUUGUGAAAGUCAAAGGCUCAACCUUUGAAAGCCGAUGGAUACUGUAGAGCUAGAGUACGGAAGAGGCGAGUGGAAUUCCUGGUGUAGCGGUGGAAUGCGCAGAUAUCAGGAGGAACACCAAUAGCGAAGGCAGCUCGCUGGGACGUUACUGACACUGAGGCGCGAAAGCGUGGGGAGCGAACAGG